ensembl:lncRNA
AAGAUUAGUACCACACACUGCAGAGAACUGGGGGUGAGCUGCUUUUUCUGGUGACCGAGGACAAGGCAGUUUGUAGUGAUGGAUACACUGGUGUGUUGGGGUUUUUUUGCUAUUGCUUGGCGACAGCUGAAAUAAAAAUAAUGAGUCAGACCCUGAAGAUGAACAGAUGGUAAAGUGUUUUCCCCUAGCCAAUAUGAACUAAGGUGGCUUGAAGAGGAGCGGGGGGUUGGACCGUGGCUCUAAGCUGCGGUGCAGGAAAUCAUCCAAACGAGCGCGGCGUGUCCUGCGCGCAGGCUGCAAAGGGCUGGCUCCGCCACAGCCUGGGCUUCCUGGGGGAGACGGCCCCGUGCGCCUGCAGGAAACCAGCGCGUCCCUGCACGUGGGGGUGGCGUGUGUGAAUGCGUACCCAUCGCAGCCCUGCUUUCGGGAGCUUCACGCUCCUUUCUUGCCAAUACAUCCGUCAUUUGGCGCCCAUCUGGUAACAGUUUCUGCUACUCAAGUGGCAGGCUUCUGCCCUGGUCUACGCACUGAAGGCUCCUGCUGCUUCUGCUCUUGGAGGCCAGGGUAGACAUCGGCAGGGAGCUCCUGCCCCUCUCCUCAUGGCUCCUGGAAAGCGGCAGGCAGUUUCCCGGGAAUGGGGGAAGCACCUCGUCGUGGGACUGCAGCAGUUGCUAUAGGUUUCUGCAGUGGGGGACGAGGAAGCGACAGUGGCACAGUAUCUGUCAGACACUAAAGAGCCACUAAGAUCCUGCAAGCCAGACAGAGCAAGCAGAUGCAUUUUUGAAGCCUCGUCAUGCAUCUGGAAGGGGGAUGGAAGAAGGAAAGUCUACAAGAGGCCAUGAAAUCCUGUUGGGUGAGUUUCCAGGAGCUCGAGGUUUGACACUCUUGUCUACACAGAGCUUUGCUCACUGGUUUUGCUUUGCACUUUCAUUUGGACUUGGCUCACCUAAAAGCAGUUUUGAUUUAUUUCAGUGCUGUUUAUCCAUCUUGGUGCUUUUUUUUUUUCCUAAGGUAACUACGUGAAAGUAGUUACCGUGGAGUUAGUCUUAAUGCGGGCAGACCAGGAAGCUCCGAACCCCACCUUCCAUCAACCUGAUCUUUCAAAUAACAAUGUUAUUGCUGACCUGGAGAGGACCUGUGCUGAGAACCUGCAUCCCUUGCUCUGUUAGAGACACUGUAUGUGUAGGAGAUGCCAAACAUCACAUUUGAUUGGGGGAAGCUGAAGUCGUUCAAGACCAAAUUAACGUGCUAUGCAAUUAUUUGAAAUUUAAAAAACAAACAAAAAAUAGUUGGGGAGCUCUGUUCAUUUUGAUUUAGCCACAGAAUAUUUUUACUAAAACGCCUUCUAAUUCUUGCCUCUUUUUUUUCUUUUCUAUCAUUGGCCCCAGUGCAUUUAAUAUUAACAGCAGUUGAGAAGGGUUGAAAGAGAUUGUUUGAACCAGUCAAGUGCCUUGAAGUUAGUAUUUAUUAAAAAACACAAAACCCUAAAACUCCCCAAACCUCCUGUUAGAACAUGACCUGUAGACACCUCAUUAACUAAGGUGGCUUUGUAGUCAACACCGAGCU